rnacentral:rRNA from 1 species
AUUAGUGGCGAACGGGUGAGUAACACGUGGGCAAUCUGCCCUUCACUCUGGGACAAGCCCUGGAAACGGGGUCUAAUACCGGAUACGACCACCGACCGCAUGGUCUGGUGGUGGAAAGCUCCGGCGGUGAAGGAUGAGCCCGCGGCCUAUCAGCUUGUUGGUGGGGUGAUGGCCUACCAAGGCGACGACGGGUAGCCGGCCUGAGAGGGCGACCGGCCACACUGGGACUGAGACACGGCCCAGACUCCUACGGGAGGCAGCAGUGGGGAAUAUUGCACAAUGGGCGAAAGCCUGAUGCAGCGACGCCGCGUGAGGGAUGACGGCCUUCGGGUUGUAAACCUCUUUCAGCAGGGAAGAAGCGAAAGUGACGGUACCUGCAGAAGAAGCGCCGGCUAACUACGUGCCAGCAGCCGCGGUAAUACGUAGGGCGCAAGCGUUGUCCGGAAUUAUUGGGCGUAAAGAGCUCGUAGGCGGCUUGUCACGUCGGAUGUGAAAGCCCGGGGCUUAACCCCGGGUCUGCAUUCGAUACGGGCAGGCUAGAGUUCGGUAGGGGAGAUCGGAAUUCCUGGUGUAGCGGUGAAAUGCGCAGAUAUCAGGAGGAACACCGGUGGCGAAGGCGGAUCUCUGGGCCGAUACUGACGCUGAGGAGCGAAAGCGUGGGGAGCGAACAGGAUUAGAUA